GUGAGGUAACGGCUCACCAAGGCAUCGACGGGUAGCUGGUCUGAGAGGGCGAUCAGCCACACUGGGACUGAGACACGGCCCAGACUCCUACGGAAGGCAGCAGUAGGGAAUCUUGCGCAAUGGGCGAAAGCCUGACGCGGCAACGCCGCGUGGGGGAUGACAGCCUUCGGGUUGUAAACCCCUUUCAGCAGGGACGAAGAUGACGGUACCUGCAGAGGAAGGUCCGGCCAACUACGUGCCAGCAGCCGCGGUAAUACGUAGGGACCAAGCGUUGUCCGGAAUUAUUGGGCGUAAAGAGCUCGUAGGCGGUUCGGUAAGUCGGGUGUGAAAAUCCAGGGCUCAACCCUGGGACGCCACCCGAUACUGCUGUGACUAGAGUCCGGUAGAGGAGCGUGGAAUUCCUGGUGUAGCGGUGAAAUGCGCAGAUAUCAGGAGGAACACCAGCGGCGAAGGCGGCGCUCUGGGCCGGUACUGACGCUGAGGAGCGAAAGCAUGGGGAGCAAACAGGAUUAGAUACCCUGGUAGUCCAUGCCGUAAACGUUGGGCACUAGGUAUGGGACCUUAUCAAUGGGUUCCGUGCCGUAGCUAACGCAUUAAGUG
rnacentral:rRNA from 1 species